rnacentral:rRNA from 1 species
AACGAACGCUGGCGGCAGGCCUAACACAUGCAAGUCGAGCGCUGUAGCAAUACAGAGCGGCGCACGGGUGAGUAACACGUGGGAACGUGCCCUUUGGUUCGGAAUAACUCAGGGAAACUU